rnacentral:rRNA from 1 species
GCAGUCGAACGAGGUAGCAAUACCUAGUGGCAGACGGGUGAGUAACACGUGGUCAACCUGCCUUCGCGUGGGGGAUAACUAGCCGAAAGGUUAGCUAAUACCGCAUACGAUCGCCCUGGGGCAUCCCUAGGCGAUGAAAGGAGCAAUCCGCACGAAGAGGGGACUGCGUCCCAUUAGUUAGUUGGUGGGGUAACGGCCUACCAAGACUCCGAUGGGUAGCUGGCUUGAGAGAGCGACCAGCCACACUGGAACUGAGACACGGUCCAGACUCCUACGGGAGGCAGCAGUGAGGAAUUUUCCGCAAUGGGCGAAAGCCUGACGGAGCGACGCCGCGUGUGGGAAGAAGGCCUUCGGGUCGUAAACCACUGUCGAAGGGGACGAUAUUGACGGUACCCUUGGAGGAAGCCCCGGCUAACUACGUGCCAGACC